CUGGCUUCUUGUGGAUUGGAUUUGUUUUCAGGAGAAGAACUGGAACCGUCAUCGAGGUCCAAGCCAAGUUUGUCCAUUUUGUGAGGAUGGCCAGCCUUCUGGUAACAUCCAACACAGAGAUCGAAAUCGUCACAGACGACAUUUCGGCGUACCUCGUUUCCACGUGAUUCUUGCAGUUGUUACAAGUAUACACGAAUCGGUCUUGUCCUUGGUUGUGAAGCUCGUACAACAUCGACAUGCUUGAAUACUUUGCUCUUCGUAAAGACGAGAACUCGUAAUGUUUAUCACGAGCCAUGGUUAAAAAGGCAUCGCGACCAUCCAUUAAGUCACACUGGAUAAAUGGAUCCGGAUCUUGAAUUGGCUAAAAUAACGAAACGAAAUUAACAUUAUUAGUUAAAUACUUUACUUGAGGGUAAUAUAAGAAAUGUCCGAUCUGGCGAUUUCUGACGAUCAUGAGUGACAUUAUUAAAUGGAGAGAUUUACUAAAUGGCGUAAAUUUAUUAGAAUUAAAAUAUAGUUACUAACUUUGAGCUCUUAUAUUGUGAACUACUCGUUGCAAAGACGUGCAAUUUACAAGGAUAAAAUUUAAGUAAAUGAAAUAGAUUAUCAAUUUGAAUAUAAUUGGGGUACUUGCUUUUCAGAGAAAUAAAAAUUGUUUUCUUGUGGAA